GUCCGGUACAGACANNAAAGCACGAAAGCAUGGGUAGCAAACAGGAUUAGAUANNNNGGUAGUCCAUGCCCUAAACGAUGAAUACUAGACGUUGGGUGUAAAAACUCAGUGUCGGAGCUAACGCAUUAAGUAUUCCACCUGGGGAGUACGAUCGCAAGGUUGAAACUCAAAGGAAUUGACGGGGGCCCGCACAAGCAGUGGAGCAUGUGGUUCAAUUCGAUGCAACGCGAAGAACCUUACCUGGGCUUGACAUGUAAGCUAAAGCGAAUGAAAGUUCGUGUCCCGCAAGGGGAGCUUAUACAGGUGCUGCAUGGCUGUCGUCAGCUCGUGCCGUGAGGUGUUGGGUUAAGUCCCGCAACGAGCGCAACCCUUGUCCUUAGUUGCUACCGGAUAAUGCCGGGCACUCUAAGGAGACUGCCUACGCAAGUAGUGAGGAAGGUGGGGAUGACGUCAAGUCCGCAUGGCCCUUACGCCCAGGGCCACACACGUGCUACAAUGGCAACUACAAAGGGCCGCAGAACCGCAAGGCGAAGCCAAUCCCUAUAAAAGUUGUCUCAGUUCGGAUCGGAGUCUGAAACUCGACUCCGUGAAGCUGGAAUUGCUAGUAAUCGUGGAUCAGCACGCCACGGUGAAUACGUUCCCGGGCCUUGUACACACCGCCCGUCAAGCCAUGGAAGCUGGGGGUACCCGAAGCCGCCUUUAAUAAGCGUCUAAGGUAAAANNNNGUGACUGGGGCUAAGUCGUAACAAGGUAGCCGAAUCGA
rnacentral:rRNA from 1 species